rnacentral:lncRNA from 1 species
UAUGUAAUUCCCCUAUAAAGGACACCAUAUGUAGUUUUACAUGGAUCGAAAUAAAAACUAAAAAUUUCCCCUAAUCGCCCCACGACAUUCCACUACCGCCGUCGACGAUCAGUUCCUUCCGUUCAUCAUCGAUCCCGCUUCUCACUGCCUCGAUCCAGCUCGAUUCGCUGCUCCAGACCAGGAACGCCCGAUCUGAUCUUCCAGUGAUCCGCUCGAGAGGAUUUACGGUCUCAGACCAACGCCCCGUCUCUUUUCUUGAUCGGUUUCCGAUUCAAACUUGAGGUCUUCAUCCAGGUCCAAUUAAUCCUUGAUUAGAGACAUCCUCCGACUCACUUCGAUACCGGAUUCGAUACCGGAUUCGAUCCCGUAUCAGAACCCAUACAUCGAGAUGUUUAGAUUUGGGAUAACAUUGGAGAUCGACUCUCUACUGCUAUGGUCCUCUGGUUCCAGUUGGUGUCCGGAAUAUAAUAUUUUCAUCUAUCUUAUCCUUCGGGACCUUUAAAAUCACUUCGACAUGACCUUCGCCCAUCAGGUCCACAGUUUCCUACUCGAAUAAAUUUAAAUCAGCCUCUUUUAUAGUUAUCUUAAUGUCCAACAUGGUCU